GUCUAUGGCCAUGCCACCUUGAACAAGCCUGAUCCCAUCUGAUACUGGAAGCUAAGCAGGGUCAGGCCAGGUUAGUACUUGGCCGGGUGCUGUAGGAG
rnacentral:rRNA from 1 species